rnacentral:rRNA from 11 species
ACCUACCCUAUAGUGGGCCUAAAUACCCUAAAGCACAGUCUGAUUUUGGAAGCUAAGCAGGUUUCGCCUUGGUCAGUACAUUGAUGGGAGACCAUCAGCAAAUACAGUAAUAGCCGGUC